rnacentral:rRNA from 1 species
CAGCAGCCGCGGGAAUACGUAGGGUGCAAGCGUUAAUCGGAAUUACUGGGCGUAAAGCGUGCGCAGGCGGUUUGUUAAGACAGAUGUGAAAUCCCCGGGCUUAACCUGGGAACUGCAUUUGUGACUGGCAGGCUAGAGUGUGGCAGAGGGGGGUGGAAUUCCGCGUGUAGCAGUGAAAUGCGUAGAUAUGCGGAGGAACACCGAUGGCGAAGGCAGCCCCCUGGGCCAACACUGACGCUCAUGCACGAAAGCGUGGGGAGCAAACAGGAUUAGAUACCCCAGUAGUCCCUGUCUCUUAUAC